AUCCUGGUUACCAUAGCAUGUCAUAGAUUGUCAUCAAACUGCCAGCAGAGAAACUGCCUUACUUACAAGGACUCAUCUAAUCAUUUUAAGCAGUGAGGCUGUCUUCCCUGUGGAACAUCUCACACUUGACAUUUGCAGAAAGAAUUACAAUACAAUAUUUCACCUUUCCAGAAGCUUCUAUUUGACUGAAAUUGUAGCAGCCAGGAAAAGACAAAUAAGCAUCUUUCUCACUUUGCUGUACAAUCACCCCUUGUUGAAGAAAUACAGUAUAACAUGGUGUAACAAGAGGAUAACUUCAAGAAAUCGAGAUCCAGGAAGAAACUAUAGUGUGUUGCUAGAUUUGUUUUGAUCAGAACCUACUGUCUAUAUGCUGUAAUAGGACCCACUGCAGUUUUCAGAAGGUGAGCAUGCUGAUUGGAUGACCUGGCUAGUACUAACCAUAGUUGCACUGCAGAGAUUGGUUUAGCAUAUUCAUACUAAAUCCAAAUGAAAAAGCAUUUUAAAUGACUUACAUUGAUUUGUCAGCCUGGAGUCAAGUAUAAGACAUUAUUUUUUCAAGUUUAGUGUAACUUGAACUAGAUGUCUUCAGCUGCAGGUGAACUUGAACA
rnacentral:lncRNA from 1 species